rnacentral:rRNA from 1 species
UAUCAAAAACAUGUCUUUAACGAGGAAGUUGUAAAGUCGGGCCUGCCCACUGAUUGUUGAAGGGCCGCGGUAUUUUGACCGUGCAAAGGUAGCAUAAUCAUUAGUCUUUUAAUUGAAGGCUGGAAUGAAUGGUUUGACGAGGCAUUAGCUGUCUCAUUAUGAAAUUUUGAAGUUAACUUUUUAGUCMAAAGGCYAAAUUGUAGUUAAAGGACGAGMMGACCCUAUAGAGCUUUAUAAGUGCUAUUAAUAAUUAUUUUUGGGCUGUUGUGAUUAAUUAAUUUAAGGUAGUUAUUGGGUUGGGGUGACUUGAAGAUUAAAUAAACUCUUUAUGAUUAAAAACAUAGAUUGAUGGUAUAAUGAUCCACUUUUAGUGAUUAAAAGAUUAAGUUACCUUAGGGAUAACAGCGUAAUUUUUUUUGAGAGUUCUUAUCAACAAAAAAGAUUGCGACCUCGAUGUUGGAUUAAGGGAAUAUUAUUGGGUGUAGCUGCUUAAUAAAUAGGUCUGUUCGACCUUUAAAUCCUUACAUGAUCUGAGUUCAA